GUCUGCAUGGAGCCGGCCUUGAAAUACCACCCUUUAAUGUUUGAUGUUCUAACGUGGACCCGUAAUCCGGGUUGCGGACAGUGUCUGGUGGGUAGUUUGACUGGGGCGGUCUCCUCCUAAAGAGUAACGGAGGAGCACGAAGGUUGGCUAAUCCUGGUCGGACAUCAGGAGGUUAGUGCAAUGGCAUAAGCCAGCUUGACUGCGAGCGUGACGGCGCGAGCAGGUGCGAAAGCAGGUCAUAGUGAUCCGGUGGUUCUGAAUGGAAGGGCCAUCGCUCAACGGAUAAAAGGUACUCCGGGGAUAACAGGCUGAUACCGCCCAAGAGUUCAUAUCGACGGCGGUGUUUGGCACCUCGAUGUCGGCUCAUCACAUCCUGGGGCUGAAGUAGGUCCCAAGGGUAUGGCUGUUCGCCAUUUAAAGUGGUACGCGAGCUGGGUUUAGAACGUCGUGAGACAGUUCGGUCCCUAUCUGCCGUGGGCGCUGGAGAACUGAGGGGGGCUGCUCCUAGUACGAGAGGACCGGAGUGGACGCAUCACUGGUGUUCGGGUUGUCAUGCCAAUGGCACUGCCCGGUAGCUAAAUGCGGAAGAGAUAAGUGCUGAAAGCAUCUAAGCACGAAACUUGCCCCGAGAUGAGUUCUCCCUGAGACUUUAGGUCUCCUGAAGGAACGUUGAAGACGACGAC
rnacentral:rRNA from 1 species